GAUGAACGCUGGCGGUAUGCCUAACACAUGCAAGUCGUACGAGAGUUUUUAACUCUAGUGGCGGACGGGUGAGUAACACGUGAGAAUUUGCCUUUAGGAGGGGGAUAACAAUUGGAAACGAAUGCUAAUACCCCAUAUGCUUUUGAGUGAAAUGGAUUUUAUCCGCCUAGAGAGAAGCUCGCGGCUGAUUAGCUUGUUGGUAAGGUAAGAGCUUACCAAGGCGACGAUCAGUAUCUGGUUUGAGAGGACGAUCAGACACACUGGAACUGAGACACGGUCCAGACUCCUACGGGAGGCAGCAGUGGGAUUUCGUCAAUGGCGAAGCCUGACGGAGCAAUACCGCGUGAGGGAAGGAAU
rnacentral:rRNA from 1 species